GCACAAGCGGUGGAUCAUGUUGUUUAAUUCGAUGAUACGCGAAGAACCUUACCAGGUCUUGACAUCCCCCGCGAUGCUUUAGAGAUAAAGCGGAGGUAUUCGGGGAGACAGGUGGUGCAUGGCUGUCGUCAGCUCGUGUCGUGAGAUGUUGGGUUAAGUCCCGCAACGAGCGCAACCCUAUUGCUAGUUACCAUCAUUAAGUUGGGGACUCUAGCGAGACUGCCAGUGAUAAACUGGAGGAAGGUGGGGAUGACGUCAAAUCAUCAUGCCCCUUAUGACCUGGGCUACAAACGUGAUACAAUGGCUGGAACAAAGGGAUGCGAAGCAGUGAUGUGGAGCGAAACCCAUAAAAACAGUCUCAGUUCGGAUUGAAGUCUGCAACUCGACUUCAUGAAGUCGGAAUCGCUAGUAAUCGCGGAUCAGAACGCCGCGGUGAAUACGUUCUCGGGGUUU
rnacentral:rRNA from 1 species